rnacentral:lncRNA from 1 species
AAAAGGUACAGGAGAUACCUCAAAGGACCUGAAGAUCCCAGUUUCACCCAGACUUAACCAGUAAGUCCCCUGGAACCUCUUGGAUCUGCCUAACCAACACUAGGUUCACAGCCUUGCCCCACCAUAUCAAGGCUUCACUUAGGUACUAGAGAUCCAGGCAGGGGUUGUCAUGCUUGCUAACUUGUCAUCUUUUUUUUGAUUCCCCACCACCACCACCAAAGAGUCUUGAUAUAAAAGACACCAUGAUAUCAAGACAAGAAUGAGGUUUUCAAAUUGUAAAUACUAAACCUUUUGUCACCUGAGUCCUAUGGAGGCUUCAGUGUUAGGAUGAAGUCAAGCCCACAUAUAAAGCCUCCUGACUCUGUGUUUGGACACAAAAUGCAUUUAAAGAUCUCCUUUAGCCCUCCUGCAGCAAUACUCUAGGAUAAGAAAGGAGAGUAAAUUCUAGGUGUCAGCAUAAGACUACAUACAAAUAAUUUAUCUGUUUUAAAAUAAUCCCAUUACACUCUUUCCAGUAAGCAACUAUAUUCAGGCUAUGGAUGGUCUAUGCAAAGUUAAGCUGAAUAACCCUUUAGUUACUUAAGACUCGUACUUUUAUGAGAUAGGCUCUCAAUACACAAUUUAAAUUAUCCUACAGUUUGCUAGUAUAUGUGCCAAAUACAUUUGAAAGUCAAACGUAUUUCUGAAUUUUUAAUCACAUCAAUUUUACUUGAAAAUCUAAUACCCAAAGCCAGUAUGACAAAUUCUACAGCUUAAGUCAUUUAUUUUAAAUUUAAGGCUGAAGUUUAAGAGAAAAGGGCAGUUAUCAAAUCCAGUAGUCCAUGAUUUAAAGAUAAUUAUUUGUUAAAAAUAAUGCAUUUAAUUUAAAAUGUUCCUUUUCUGACUUUGAUAUAUGGUGAUUGUAAGUGCAGUUUAUUGCUAAUUCUUUUCUGCUCUUUGGUGGAGCACACAGCUAUAUACCAGCUUUCCCUGGGAAGGGGAAAAAAACUUCAGAAAUCAUUGCACACAGGCUUGAAUCCAAGCAAUCUAUUUUUAGUACUUUCUCCGCAAAGUCUACAAUAAAAAUGUAAAUGGAAUAGUGCUACCUUGGCCUAAGAUCAUUUUUCAAAGUAUAAAUUUGGCAUUGUUUAAAUUCAUUUUCACACUGUCUUCAAGGAACUUGGACACUUUAGGGGUCUUCAGAUCCUAGUUUCGCAUUAAGUCUAACAACCUACAUUUGUCAAAGUUUUACAAUAACCAAUUCUUGAUUAAAAUCUAAGGAUGAACUUGAUGUAUGUUCCACACCAUGCUGCUGAGUUAGCACUCUGUUGGGCGGGUCUCUCUAAGCAUUCACACAACUGAUAAGCCAGUUCUUGAGUUGUGAAUUGUGUCUUCUCCUUGAUUUUCAUUCUACCCAGGCUCUUUGUAGAGUAGGCAGUUCAACAUUCUGGACCUCCACUAGACUAAAAAUUCCUUGUAAACCAGGAACUGUGUUUCAUUCCUCUGUGUUGACCUACACAGCUUCAUUAGGUUGGCAAGCUGUGGGGUCCACUUCAUAAGCUGAAAGGGAAAGGAGUGUCUCUUGAGUAAAGCCAGGGUAUAACAAACAUUUGAACCAGAGGAGCUGUUAAAACGUAUCUUCUGCUGUCUACUUACUAGAGGAUGGCAGGGAUUCAGAGCCUGUAUCAUGAAUCAAAACAAGUUUCUAUGGAAACUAAUGGAACUCCUUGAAACUGUAGAUAAUGCACAUGAGAUUAAAACAGAGAAGAGAAAGAGGUUAAUAAAGAAAUUGGAAGGGGGCAUCAAGGAAAGAUAAAGUUAUUAACAAAUGACACAGGACAAGAUAGCCAAGGUGACAGGAUUUCAAGAACUUGAAAGGGAAACACCAUGGGCAAGAGAGGAGAUUAAAUAGAAUAUUGAGAAGUGUUAUUAAUGAACUAUGAAUAAUACCAGACAUCGGAUAUACUUUUUUUUCAUAAGUGGAAUUCUUUAAAAGGUUCCAUACCAUGUUGAGAUGUUUGUAUUCCCGGUUUGAUUUACUAAUCCUGCAGCUUCUCAGUUGUAGCCUCGGGUGAUAGCCAACACUCCGGAAGUGACUUCAUGAGGAUUCUGCUACUGAUAAUGUCAUGGAUCAGAGUUUUUCCAUAGUACAAAAGAGAAAAGCAUUCUGCUGGUCUUCUCUCUGGUGCAAAAGGUAUCAGCCCUCUCCUAGAGCAGCUUUCUUAGCUUCUCACUGCCUUUUUCUGGUCGUUUUGGUGGAGUUUGGUCAUUGCGAAGCUGAUAGGAAUUCCCUUGUUUCAGUUUAUAAUGAAUAGUUUGUAAACAGUGAAGUGGAAACUCAGAUACCUAAGAGUCAGUCAUAGAGACCACGACUGUGAAGCCCCACUUGAUGGCUGGCAAUAUCAAUUUCUGACUUCAGACUCCCAGCAGUGGUAGCGCACUCCUUUAAUCCCAGAAUUUGGGAGACAGGGGCAGGUGGAUAUCUGAGUUCGAGGUCAGCCUGGUCUACAUAAUGAGUUCCAGGACAGCCAGAUCUACACCAAGAAACCUGUCU